rnacentral:rRNA from 1 species
UACAGAGGGUGCAAGCGUUAAUCGGAAUUACUGGGCGUAAAGCGAGCGUAGUCGGUUAUUUAAGUCGGGUGUGAAAGCCCCGGGCUCAACCUGGGAAUUGCAUUCGAUACUGGAUAGCUAGAGUUCGGCAGAGGGAAGCGGAAUUUCCGGUGUAGCGGUGAAAUGCGUAGAUAUCGGAAGGAACAUCAGUGGCGAAAGCGGCUUCCUGGACCAGAACUGACGAUCAGCUCGAAAGCGUGGGGAGCAAACAGG